rnacentral:lncRNA from 1 species
GAGGCAUAAAGCCAUGGUUAUCAAACGAGGAAAGCAAUCUCGGCGCCGUAGCAUGUCUAUGACUGGUCGGUCGACAAGGCCGGAAAUAGUUGAGUCCAGGAGGCAUGUGUCACUCUAGUGCGGAGUUGGGGACCCCGGGAGAGAAGGUUGGUGAGGGCCAUACUUGGUGAGUAACGGGUAUGACUACUAUCUAAGGAGGAGUGAAGCACUGCCUUGUGACCGGGGAUUGUGUGACCUUCGGACCAAGUGACUACAAUGGACUCAACCAUCCUAAGUGUGAAGUAUAGCCUCUUGAAACGCCCCAAUGUCUUUGGGCCACGCCUUGAGUCUAUAUGGAUCAUGGACGGAUCAUCAGUAUGCCUAUGACCGAAAUAAAUAUUGACAACAGUUAUGACCUAACCGUAAACCUUACCCUUUGUUAUAUUUGAUCUUUGUUUAAGUUUACUUGUGCAGAUAAACAGGUUGAGACCGUGACAACUCAAUUUGUGCACCCGAAGAGUAAAGUAGUUCCUCACUCUCCGUGGGAUCGACCCUAUACUUGCUGCU